rnacentral:lncRNA from 1 species
GCGAAAACCCCGGAUGGUGAGGAGCAGCAAAUGUGCAAUACCAACAUGUCUGUACCUACUGAUGGUGCUGUAACCACCUCACAGAUUCCAGCUUCGGAACAAGAGACCCUGUUAGACCAAAGCCAUUGCUUUUGAAGUUAUUAAAGUCUGUUGGUGCACAAAAAGACACUUAUACUAUGAAAGAGUUCUUUUUUAUCUUGGCCAGUAUAUUAUGACUAAACGAUUAUAUGAUGAGAAGCAACAACAUAUUGUAUAUUGUUCAAAUGAUCUUCUAGGAGAUUUGUUUGGCGUGCCAAGCUUCUCUGUGAAAGAGCACAGAAAAUAUAUACCAUGAUCUACAGGAACUUGGUAGUAGUCAAUCAGCAGGGUAAGUUAAUUUUGAG